AUACGUAGGGUGCAAGCGUUAAUCGGAAUUACUGGGCGUAAAACGUGCGCAGGCGGUUUUGUAAGCCAGAGGUGACAUCCCCGGGGUCAACCUGGGAACUGCCUUUGUGCCUGCAAGGCUAGAGACCGGCAGUGGGGGAUGGCAUUCCGCGUGUAGCAGUGAAAAGCGUAGAUAUGGGGAGGAACACCGAUGGCGAAGGCAAUCCCCUGGGCCUGUACUGACGCUCAUGCACGAAAGCGUGGGGAGCAAACAGGAUUAGAUACCCUGGUAGUCCACGCCCUAAACGAUGUCAACUGGUUGUUGGGUCUUCAUUGACUCAGUAACGAAGCUAACGCGUGAAGUUGACCGCCUGGGGAGUACGGCCGCAAGGUUGAAACUCAAAUGAAUUGACGGGG
rnacentral:rRNA from 1 species